CGGGGUGAGUAACACGUGAGCAACCUGCCUUUAAGAGUGGGAUAACGGUCGGAAACGACCGCUAAUACCGCAUAAUAUACAUGAAUCGCAUGGUUUGUGUAUCAAAGAUUUAUCGCUUAAAGAUGGGCUCGCGUCUGAUUAGCUGGUUGGUGAGGUAACGGCUCACCAAGGCGACGAUCGGUAGCCGUACUGAGAGGUAGAACGGCCACAUUGGGACUGAGACACGGCCCAGACUCCUACGGGAGGCAGCAG
rnacentral:rRNA from 1 species